CCUGCCGUGGUGUAACGGUUAACACGUCUAACCCGCUUUGUUAGAAGACGUGGGUUCGAAUCCCAUCGGUAGCG